GACGUAGGUGGCGAGCGUUAUUCGGAAUUACUAGGCGUAAAGCGAGUGUAGGCGGAUGCUUAAGUCCGUAGUGAAAUCUCCCGGCUCAACCGGGAGGGGUCUGCGGAUACUGGGCGUCUUGAAUUGGGUAGGGGGGAUCAGAAUUCCCGGUGUAGCGGUGAAAUGCGCAGAUAUCGGGAAGAAUACCGGUGGCGAAGGCGGAUCCCUGGACCUGGAUUGACGCUGAGACUCGAAAGCUAGGGGAGCAAACAGG
rnacentral:rRNA from 1 species